GAGUUUGAUCGUGGCUCAGAUUGAACGCUGGCGGCAUGCCUUACACAUGCAAGUCGAACGGCAGCACGGGAGCUUGCUCCUGGUGGCGAGUGGCGAACGGGUGAGUAAUGCAUCGGAACGUAUCCUGGAGUGGGGGAUAACGUAGCGAAAGUUACGCUAAUACCGCAUAUUCUGUGAGCAGGAAAGCGGGGGACCUUCGGGCCUCGCGCUCUUGGAGCGGCCGAUGUCGGAUUAGCUAGUUGGUGAGGUAAAGGCUCACCAAGGCGACGAUCCGUAGCAGGUCUGAGAGGAUGAUCUGCCACACUGGAACUGAGACACGGUCCAGACUCCUACGGGAGGCAGCAGUGGGAUUUUGGACAAGUGGGGGCAACCCUGAUCCAGCCAUGCCGCGUGAGUGAAGAA
rnacentral:rRNA from 1 species